rnacentral:rRNA from 1 species
UACGGGGGGGGCAAGCGUUGUUCGGAAUUACUGGGCGUAAAGGGCGCGUAGGCGGCCUGCUAAGUCAUACGUGAAAUCCCUCGGCUCAACCGAGGAACUGCGUCUGAUACUGGUUGGCUUGAAUUCGGGAGAGGGAUGCGGAAUUCCAGGUGUAGCGGUGAAAUGCGUAGAUAUCUGGAGGAACACCGGUGGCAAAGGCGGCAUCCUGGACCGAGAUUGACGCUGAUGCGCGAAAGCCAGGGGAGCAAACGGG